UACGGAGGGUGCGAGCGUUGUCCGGAAUCAUUGGGCGUAAAGGGCGCGUAGGUGGCCCAGCAAGCGUGCGGUGAAAGCUCGGGGCUCAACCCCGAGUCGGCCGUGCGAACUGCGGGGCUGGAGCACUGUAGAGGCAGGCGGAAUUCCGGGUGUAGCGGUGGAAUGCGUAGAGAUCCGGAAGAACACCGGUGGCGAAGGCGGCCUGCUGGGCAGUUGCUGACACUGAGGCGCGACAGCGUGGGGAGCAAACAGG
rnacentral:rRNA from 1 species